UGAGGAAUAUUGGUCAAUGGACGAAAGUCUGAACCAGCCAUGCCGCGUGAAGGAAUAAGGCCCUAUGGGUCGUAAACUUCUUUUGUAUGUGAGCAAUAAGGUCCACGUGUGGUCCGAUGAGAGUAGCAUACGAAUAAGCAUCGGCUAACUCCGUGCCAGCAGCCGCGGUAAUACGGAGGAUGCAAGCGUUAUCCGGAUUCAUUGGGUUUAAAGGGUGCGUAGGCGGCUUGGUAAGUCAGCGGUGAAAUUCCAGUGCUCAACAUUGGCCGUGCCGUUGAUACUGCUGGGCUUGAAUGCGGAUGCCGUGGGAGGAAUGUGUGGUGUAGCGGUGAAAUGCAUAGAUAUCACACAGAACACCGAUUGCGAAGGCAUCUCACGAAUCCGCAAUUGACGCUGAGGCACGAAAGUGUGGGGAUCAAACAGG
rnacentral:rRNA from 1 species